rnacentral:rRNA from 1 species
GGUGAACGCUGGCGGCGUGCCUAAUACAUGCAAGUCGAGCGAACGGACGAGAAGCUUGCUUCCCUGAUGUUAGCGGCGGACGGGUGAGUAACACGUGGAUAACCUACCUAUAAGACUGGGAGAACAUCGGGAAACCGGAGACAAUACCGGAGCAUAUGUUGAACCGCAUGGUUCAAAAGUGAAAGACGGUCUUGCUGUCACUUAUAGAUGGAUCCGCGCUGCAUUAGCUAGUUGGUAAGGUAACGGCUUACCAAGGCAACGAUGCAUAGCCGACCUGAGAGGGUGAUCAGCCACACUGGAACUGAGACACGGUCCAGACUCCUACGGGAGGCAGCAGUAGGGAAUCUUCCGCAAUGGGCGCAAGCCUGACGCAGCCACGCCGCGUGAGUGAUGAAGGUCUUCGGAUCGUAAAACUCUGUUAUUAGGGAAGAACAUAUGUGUAAGUAACUGUGCACAUCUUGACGGUACCUAAUCAGAAAGCCACGGCUAACUACGUG